GUACUUUUGCUGUAUUCCAAAAUUGGGAGCCUGGCAGAGACCUCCCUCCUCUGAGUCUCUCCAAGGCCCUUAGUGGAACAGGGGAGGUGGAGCAGGAAGUAGGAGUUUUAAUAACUGGUCUCAUGGUCUGGGUAGAGGUCUCCCAGGCUAAAGAGGAGAGGAGGAAGUUGUCUGUCCUGAGUGACUCGUGGAGUCACUGUGGAUCAAAGACCUUUUCUGGAAGCAGUACUUUUGAAAUCUGGCCAGAACUGAGGCUCAUGUCAGAAAAUGGGGCUACUGGAACCCCCACCACCCAUAAUGUGAUAGAGGCUACAGGGUAGGACGAGGAGGAGCAGGUUAUGGGGCAGGAAUCCUGGGUUUCAUGGGCAUGGUUUGGGGGUACAACAAAUUAUUGGUGAGAAGGUGGCUAAGGGGCAAGGGAGUCCAGGUCUUCCAACCAUGUGGGUACAUUAUGGAGAGGUAGAAAUUCUGGGUUCAUAUUGGACCUCUCUACAAUUUCUGUCCUCCUCCACCAGGCAUGGGCACAGGGCAAGAUGGAACUAAAUAGACUGUGCUUUUAUUGUUUUUUUUAAUUUUAAUUUUUUUAGACUGUGCUUUUAAAUCCCUGAAUAGGGGCUUGUGUACCUCAGUGGAAGACACAUUUCUCUGCCUUUCUCUUUGUCUCAUUCUUAGUCCCUAGACGUGACAGGAAACAGAUAGCUUGGUUACCAUGGGAACGGAAGCUGAGUGAUGCAUUGGACUGUGGGAGAAAAGCAGAGGUGGUCCUGACAUAAAGGCCCUCAGGGGAAGAGAUUUGAGCAACGCACUCAUAUUUGAAAGAAUUCACAAUUUCUACAGGUAACUGUCUUCCCCUUAAUGUUGAGGACAACUAUCCUCUUCCAUCGUUUGCAGCGGGAUGGAACUCUCAUGACAAGACCUAGCGAUCCUGCCCUCUACUACCCAAGGUGUGAACAUGAAGUCCAACUGCAUGCCCACUCCUUGGGAUCUAACACAUGCACCGAAACAGGGCCCACAAAGGUGAUGGUCAAUUGUGCUGUCCUUCUGAAGAACCAACCUUGGCUAUUUUGUUUUAUCUUUAAUGUAUUAAUGCUCUUAUCCUUAUUUCAUUUCACCUGCUUUCUUUGACU